UACAGGGGGCGCGAGCGUUGCUCGGAAUCACUGGGCGUAAAGCGUACGCAGGCGGUUCGUUAAGUCCGGUGUGAAAGCUCCCGGCUCAACUGGGAGAGGUCAUUGGAUACUGGCGGACUCGAGGGAUGCAGAGGAAGGUGGAAUUCCCGGUGUAGUGGUGAAAUGCGUAGAGAUCGGGAGGAACACCAGUGGCGAAGGCGGCCUUCUGGGCAUUUCCUGACGCUGAGGCGCGAAAGCGUGGGGAGCGAACCGG
rnacentral:rRNA from 1 species